UACAGAGGUCCCAAGCGUUGUUCGGAUUCACUGGGCGUAAAGGGUGCGUAGGUGGUGAGGUAAGUUUGAUGUGAAAUCUCCGGGCUAAACCCGGAAAUGGCAUUGAAUACUAUCUUGCUAGAGGAGUGGAGGGGGGACUGGAAUACUUGGUGUAGCAGUGAAAUGCGUAGAUAUCAAGUGGAACACCAGUGGCGAAGGCGAGUCCCUGGACACUUCCUGACACUGAGGCACGAAAGCUAGGGGAGCAAACAGG
rnacentral:rRNA from 1 species